CUCUAUACGGAGUUACAAAGGAAUAUAUUAAACGAAUCAUCUGGAAAGUUGAAUCAAAGAAGGUAAUAAUCCUGUAGUCGAAAGUUUGUUCACUCUUGAGUGGAUCCUGAGUACGACGGAACACGAGAAAUUCCGUCGGAAUCCGGGAGGACCAUCUCCCAAGGCUAAAUACUCUCUAGUGACCGAUAGUGAACCAGUACCGUGAGGGAAAGGUGAAAAGUACCCCGGAAGGGGAGUGAAAGAGAACUUGAAACCGUGUGCUUACAAGUAGUCAGAGCCCGUUAAUGGGUGAUGGCGUGCCUUUUGUAGAAUGAACCGGCGAGUUACGAUAUGAUGCGAGGUUAAGUUGAAGAGACGGAGCCGUAGGGAAACCGAGUCUUAAUAGGGCGGAUUAGUAUCAUGUCGUAGACCCGAAACCAUGUGACCUACCCAUGAGCAGGGUGAAGGUGAGGUAAAACUCACUGGAGGCCCGAACCAGGGCACGUUGAAAAGUGCUUGGAUGACUUGUGGGUAGCGGAGAAAUUCCAA
rnacentral:rRNA from 1 species